rnacentral:misc_RNA from 1 species
UAACAAAUACGAGCAAUUAUCAUUUGUGUUACCAUUAAUAUGAAACGAACAGUUGUAGCAACUUUAUUUGGUUUAUUAUUCUCUGCGAAUGCUUUAUCUGAAAGGAUCAUAGUCUCUCAUCAGCUCGGUAAAACAACAUUUUAACUUUUCAACCACGCUCAGUGUCGUAAUCAAUUUUGUUGGUGGUUUGUAUUUCUUAUCGCUGCUUGUUAGACAAA